rnacentral:rRNA from 1 species
GCAGCCAUGCCGCGUGUAUGAUGAAGGCCUUCGGGUUGUAAAGUACUUUCAGCGGGGAGGAAGGCGGUGAGGUUAAUACCCUCGCCCAUUGACGUUACCCGCAGAAGAAGCACCGGCUAACUCCGUGCCAGCAGCCGCGGU